GACGAACGCUGGCGGCGUGCCUAACACAUGCAAGUCGAGCGGAGACAGUGAGUAGCUUGCUAUGAGCUGUUUUAGCGGCGGACGGGUGAGUAACGCGUGAGCAACCUUUCCCAGACAGGGGAAUAACACACCGAAAGGUGUACUAAUACCGCAUAAGACCACGGGAUCACAUGGUUCUGGGGUAAAAGAUUUAUCGGUUUGGGGUGGGCUCGCGUCCGAUUAGGUAGUUGGUGAGGUAACGGCCCACCAAGCCGACGAUCGGUAGCCGACCUGAGAGGGUGAUCGGCCACAUUGGGACUGAGACACGGCCCAAACUCCUACGGGAGGCAGCAGUGGGGAAUAUUGGGCAAUGGAGGAAACUCUGACCCAGCAACGCCGCGUGGAGGAAGAAGGUUUUCGGAUCGUAAACUCCUGUCCUUGGAGACGAGUAGAAGACGGUAUCCAAGGAGGAAGCCCCGGCUAACUACGUGCCAGCAGCCGCGGUAAUACGUAGGGGGCAAGCGUUGUCCGGAAUAAUUGGGCGUAAAGGGCGCGUAGGCGGCUCGGUAAGUCUGGAGUGAAAGUCCUGCUUUUAAGGUGGGAAUUGCUUUGGAUGCUGUCGGGCUUGAGUGCAGGAGAGGUUAGUGGAAUUCCCAGUGUAGCGGUGAAAUGCGUAGAGAUUGGGAGGAACACCAGUGGCGAAGGCGACUAACUGGACUGUAACUGACGCUGAGGCGCGAAAGUGUGGGGAGCAAACAGGAUUAGAUACCCUGGUAGUCCACACUGUAAACGAUGAAUGCUAGGUGUAGGGGGUAUCGACCCCUUCUGUGCCGCAGUCAACACAAUAAGCAUUCCGCCUGGGGAGUACGGCCGCAAGGUUGCAACUCAAAUGAAUUGACGG
rnacentral:rRNA from 1 species